UUAAAUUGAAGAGUUUGAUCAUGGCUCAGAUUGAACGCUGGCGGCAGGCCUAACACAUGCAAGUCGAGCGGCAGCGGGAAAGUAGCUUGCU
rnacentral:rRNA from 1 species